AAAAUUGAAAUUCUUGGAUUUAUGAAAGACGAACAACUGCGAAAGCAUUUGCCAAGGAUGUUUCAUUAAUCAAGAACGAAAGUUGGGGGCUCGAAGACGAUCAGAUACCGUCCUAGUCUCAACCAUAAACGAUGCCGACCAGGGAUCGGCGGAUGUUGCUUUUAGGACUCCGCCGGCACCUUAUGAGAAAUCAAAGUCUUUGGGUUCCGGGGGGAGUAUGGUCGCAAGGCUGAAACUUAAAGGAAUUGACGGAAGGGCACCACCAGGAGUGGAGCCUGCGGCUUAAUUUGACUCAACACGGGGAAACUUACCAGGUCCAGACAUAGUAAGGAUUGACAGACUGAGAGCUCUUUCUAUUUUUUUUUUUGAUUGAAGAUGUAAAUAUAUAAAUCAAAAAAAGUCGUAGACAAUUACAACGGGCAUACCCGAGGGAAUUGAAGCACUAACGGUUGGCUAUAAGCCAUCGAAAAGCGUAAAAACGUAAAGAAAAACAUCAGGUUCGAUAACAGAAAAAAAAAAUCGGUUGGGGGUAAGCCUUAAGCCCUAGUUUGCGUCGAUUUGGCCUAUCAUGAAUCGGCCUCCACUGCUGGUCGUCAGUUCCGGAUGCUGCAUAAACAUAGCUGAGUAAACGUGGGUCUUGAUCCUCGUAGUAAUUUCGGUAGCCGUCGUUUCCGUCAUGUCGAAUUUCGCCCUGUUCCGAGCUGCCCAAAUGUGGUACACAACACUCGCCAAAGCACAUCUCCUCGCCUUGCUUCGAUAAGAU
rnacentral:ncRNA from 1 species